ACCCAGCCCUCUCUAACAACCCAUUUCUUUUUCCUUGAGAAAGGCCACCUCCUGAACCUCCCCAGCUGGGUUGAGAAAUGUUAAGACAAAGCAAUUGUCUCAUUCAACAAGGCAGGGAUUCAUCUCCAGAAAAAUACCGAUAUCCAACAAGUUGCAAUUCAUUUGGUGGGGUGGAAUUUCUCAGUUAAAAAUAGUGAAAGGGAGAGAGAGGAUCGGCUACAACCCAACUUACCACACCUCCUUUAGCAGCAGCAAAGCUGAUUAUAUGUUCUGGUACUGGUAUUGAUAAUUGGGGAUUUCGCACUACUUUUCUUGCUGAAGAUCCUUGAGGAAAAUGCAAUUUUUGAGGGGUGGUAUUGAUAGGGGAUAUGGAUGAAAGACCAAUGGAGUAUUCUACAAGAGAAGGCUAACAGAAGGAAUAUAAGGAAAUGCAGAGAUAAGAGUAACAGAAUCACAUGCCAUGUGCAAAUAGAAGUAGGGGAGAGCCAUUUAGAGUUCUGGUUGGGGACGGGCUUCGAGAGAGGUUCUUCAAAGUCAGUCUGGCAAUGGAUGGUCUGGAGGUGGAAGUGGUGGUUGGUGAAGUAGGUGGUAAACCUUGGGGAAAUCAACGAGUGAAAAUUAUUUACUCAAAGAUUGGUGCUGAGAAAAAGACAAUUGAAUGCAAUUUGCAGGAGCUGUGCUUCUCAAGUGUAGGACUUCAUUACAUUGACAUUACAGCAACUGGCAACUGUACCGUGUCCAGUAUAAUUGAUUGAAUCAAUAACAUCCGCCACUAUAAACAAAUUUUAAAUUUUGUUGUAGUUUGAUCUGCAUCCUUGAAUAUCACAAAAAACUUGCACCUAUGGCUUAUAUAUUGACCAAAUGGAUUUUCAAAGCGUGUACCUAGUUCCCACUUCAUCUCACUCU